rnacentral:rRNA from 1 species
AGUGAACGCUGGCGGUAGGCUUAACACAUGCCAGUCGAACGGCAGCACAGUAAGAGCUUGCUCUUACGGGUGGCGGGUGGCGGACGGGUGAGGAAUACAUCGGAAUCUACUUUUUCGUGGGGGAUAACGUAGGGAAACUUACGCUAAUACCGCAUACGACCUACGGGUGAAAGCAGGGGAUCUUCGGACCUUGCGCGAUUGAAUGAGCCGAUGUCGGAUUAGCUAGUUGGCGGGGUAAAGGCCCACCAAGGCGACGAUCCGUAGCUGGUCUGAGAGGAUGAUCUGCCACACUGGAACGGAGACACGGUCCAGACUCCUACGGGAGGCAGCAGUGGGGAAUAUUGGACAAUGGGCGCAAGCCUGAUCCAGCCAUACCGCGUGGGUGAAGAAGGCCUUCGGGUUGUAAAGCCCUUUUGUUGGGAAAGAAAAGCAGCAGGUUAAUACCCCGCUGUUCUGACGGUACCCAAAGAAUAAGCACCGGCUAACUUCGUG